UACGUAGGGCGCAAGCGUUGUCCGGAAUUAUUGGGUGUAAAGAGCUCGUAGGCGGUCUGUCGCGUCCGUUGUGAAAACUCGAGGCUCAACCUCGGGCUUGCAGUGGAUACGGGCAGACUAGAGUGCGGUAGGGGAGACUGGAAUUCCUGGUGUAGCGGUGGAAUGCGCAGAUAUCAGGAGGAACACCGAUGGCGAAGGCAGGUCUCUGGGCCGCAACUGACGCUGAGGAGCGAAAGCAUGGGGAGCGAACAGG
rnacentral:rRNA from 1 species